rnacentral:rRNA from 1 species
GUAGGGAAUUUUCGGCAAUGGGGGAAACCCUGACCGAGCAACGCCGCGUGAAGGAAGAAGGUUUUCGGAUUGUAAACUUCUGUUAUAAAGGAAGAACGGCGGCUACAGGAAAUGGUAGCCGAGUGACGGUACUUUAUUAGAAAGCCACGGCUAACUACGUGCCAGCAGCCGCGGUAAUACGUAGGUGGCAAGCGUUAUCCGGAAUUAUUGGGCGUAAAGAGGGAGCAGGCGGCAGCAAGGGUCUGUGGUGAAAGCCUGAAGCUUAACUUCAGUAAGCCAUAGAAACCAGGCAGCUAGAGUGCAGGAGAGGAUCGUGGAAUUCCAUGUGUAGCGGUGAAAUGCGUAGAUAUAUGGAGGAACACCAGUGGCGAAGGCGACGAUCUGGCCUGCAACUGACGCUCAGUCCCGAAAGCGUGGGGAGCAAAUAGGAUUAGAAACCCUAGUAGUCCU